CCAGAGAGGCAUCUUCUGGCACUUUCCACGGAGGUUACUCUCCUGCGUGGGGGAGGGCGAGACGCACCCCCUCCUCCUCCUCCUUUAGCAAGUGCACCUCAGCCUGAGAUUUGGGGAUCGCCUCACCUGUAUUUACAAAACCCACCACCGCACUCCCUACACCCAGCACCGGGCUGCCUCGUCUUGCAGCAGCAAGCCGCGGCUGAGACGCGGGCGAGCCGGACGGACGGACGGACCGACCGACCGACCGAUGGGGGAGACAGACAGAUAGACAGGCGCGAGCGCGGGGACCGGGCAGCGGGGAGCGCGAGCGCGGGACGAGCGCGGGUUCAAUGAGCGGAACAAAGCAAUCAUGGCGGAGCAGGCACACCGGGCUGCGCGCCCCGAGGACUCGGCGACCGCCCCGCGCCCUGGCCGACUCAUGAGACUAUUGCCCUCCUGAAAACAUCCAACUGCCACUCCAGAAUGGGACAAGAAAGGAUCUACCCGUCUGGGCUUUUUCUGGGAGCAGAAAACCAACUAUAAAUAUGAAACAGACUUCACUGCUAGACCCAAACUUCACAUCUGCCAAGAAACCAAGCUUCUGCCCAAGAGUAUCUGCAAUAUAAGCAGCAGGAUCCAGGGCAUAAGAGGUUUCAGAAGAUACACUAAAGGCCCUCUCUGGAACUAGGUUACUGUUGGAGCAACUCUAGAAAUUUCCAGGCAUGAUCUACUGGAUCUUCCUCACAUUCCCACUGUGGCUGACCACCCUCUGUAGCUGAGAAGAUAACUUUAAAAUGGAAGACAAUGACAGGAUUCCCCAAGGCCUAAGAAGGGAUACGCCCCCGUGAAAACUCAGCAAUAUGGCUGCCUAAACAAGCCUUGUAUACCAACAAUGCUAGUGGACAUACCAGCAAGAGAGGAGCAAAUCUCGUAAGACCUCACCCCAGAUGAAGAGAUACAGGCAAUUGAGGGCUGCUGAGAAAAGGAAAAUCAGUCUUGUCCAAAAAUGAACCUUCUGACAAUUUAUCCAAUCCCAAGAGGCCAUUCCUAAACACACAGAUGCCACCGAAUUUGGGCACAUUUGGGAAAUGAAGAUUGUGAUGCAUCUAACCAGCAUGCUCAGUAUUCGUUCUGCUUCUAGGCACUGCUGUGUUUUUUUGGACUCUUGAAGCAAUUUGUGGCAUCCUUACAAAAGAGAUCCUCAUCCAAAGAUUGAGAAUUUCAUUGGAAAGCUACUGUAGAUUAGGGUGAUACCUGCAAGGUGAUGGGAGAGUAAAAGACAAAGUAUCUUGUUGACAAAUAUGUUGAAAAUGAUGGGCCAAUAUGUGGGAUUUGCAUCCUUUCACCUUCAAACUGAGAAAAUCUUUCUACCAUCUUCAAACUGAAAUGAUGAAGUGAAUGUAAGCUUUUGGGACCCAGCUUUCUCCUGGCUCUCUCUUGGGAGCCUAGAACUGAUUCAUUUGAUGUCUGGCUACCCUCCACCAUUGACAGCACACAGAGGCCAGUGAUGCAGAGGAGCUACCCUGUGUUCAGACCCUGAAUAUCACAAAGUAGAUGGACAUCACCCCACUAUGCCCUGAUCACGGGUACAGAGACUCCACGACGAAGCACAUGGACACUUUAUGCACCUACAUUUGAGGAGAUUUGUUAUUCAGAAGUAGCAAUUGUGGCACCCAAUUUGGGGCAUUAGAAAUCAUGUCUGAAUAAGGUAAAGUAUAUCCCUGCUCUUACACAUUUUAUACACUAUGGUUAUAAAACAGAAAAUAUAGAAACUUUCAUCUUAUUAAUUAAAGUAUUCUAUUUUUGAAAACAUCAUUAUUUCAGCAAAACUGACAUAAUAUAAAUUGCACAUAUUUAAAAUGUACAGUUUGAUGAGUUCUGGCAUAUGAGGGUUCAUAUGGAGCCAUCACCACAGAUAAGCCAAUGAACAUACCUAUCACCCCAAAGUUUCCUGCACAGUCCUUCAUUCCUGCCCAGGUUCCCCCUGCUCUGCUUUGUAAUUUCAUAUUCAUUUGCAGUUUUAGAAAUUUUACAUAAAAGGACCAUAUAGCUUGCCCUCUUUUGUUGUUCAGUUUCUUUUACUAGGGAGAGUUAUCUGUGAUUCAUUUAUCUGUUGCACAAAUCAAUAACUGCUUCGUUUUUAUUACUGAGGACUCAUCAUUUGGGCAUGUUAUGGUUUAUUUAUGUAUUAGGAAUUGUUUCCAGUUUGGGUAUAUCACAAAUGCAACUGUUGAUAUGCACACAUGGUCAAAUAUUUGAAUAGAAAUGCAUUUUCCUUCUCUGUAGAAAAUAUUUUGGUGUGGGUUGCCUUCUAGUCUGUAGCCUAAGUACACUGGCCAGAGAAUAAUGUGGGACAUUCUCAAGGUGGUUUGUUUGCUACUUUUCAUUCAGUUAUUACUCUAUUUUAUUGCCUAAUAUCCAAUGCCUUGAAACUAAGUUCUUACCUAUAGAUGUAGUAAUAUAAUUAAUAUGCAUGCCUAUGAUCAUAUGGAUAUAUACAUAUAUAAUCAUGUGCUACUUUUGUUUUCCAUUGUUUUGGGAAGGAAAGUAAAUACGGUCCCCCUUACCUCAUAUUGAUACUGACUCAUUCUUUUCAUUCAUGCUUGGUUACAGCUGUAUUAAAAGGUAAA